rnacentral:piRNA from 1 species
GUAUUAGAGGCAAUGCCUGCCCAG